rnacentral:rRNA from 1 species
GACGAACGCUGGCGGCGUGCCUAAUACAUGCAAGUAGAACGCACAGUUUAUACCGUAGCUUGCUACACCAUAGACUGUGAGUUGCGAACGGGUGAGUAACGCGUAGGUAACCUGCCUGGUAGCGGGGGAUAACUAUUGGAAACGAUAGCUAAUACCGCAUAAUAUUGAUUAUUGCAUGAUAAUUAAUUGAAAGGUGCAAUUGCAUCACUACCAGAUGGACCUGCGUUGUAUUAGCUAGUAGGUGUGGUAACGGCUCACCUAGGCGACGAUACAUAGCCGACCUGAGAGGGUGAUCGGCCACACUGGGACUGAGACACGGCCCAGACUCCUACGGGAGGCAGCAGUAGGGAAUCUUCGGCAAUGGACGAAAGUCUGACCGAGCAACGCCGCGUGAGUGAAGAAGGUUUUCGGAUCGUAAAGCUCUGUUGUAAGAGAAGAACGGGUGUGAGAGUGGAAAGUUCACACUGUGACGGUAUCUUACCAGAAAGGGACGGCUAACUACGUG